GCUGAAAUCACGUGACCCAGCCCGGUGCUGCUCCCGAGUGCAGCGGUGCAGUCGUCAAGCGCGAGCCAGCUUAAAAUACUCCCCGACUGCCGCGCGCCUCAUAUUGAUUUUGCUACGUAUCAAAGCCCGACGACUAUCCAUCAACCUCGACCAUGGGCAAAGGAAAAGGUGGUGGCGGAGGAGGCGGUGGCGGAGGUGGAAAAGGCGGUGAUAAAAAAGCUGCCGGUGGCGGCGGUGGUGGCGGCGGCGGCGGCGGAGGGAACAAAGGAGGUGAUAAAGGAAAAGGAGGCGGAGGUGAUAAAGGAGGAGGAAAGAAAGGUGGUAAGAAGUGAGGUCUCGUCCUCGGUCGAAAGAUGACGUCACGGUCGAAAAGACUGACCAUCAACAAACGACCAACUUCCUACAACUUUUUCACCGUUUCUGCUCAUUCCAUUAAACAAUUUCGAUUUAAUUGUCUCAGAAGUAUCUUAACUUUAUGUGUUGAUCAAUGUUACGUUAGAUAAUGACGCACUUUUGUACAAUUCGCUCGUAUACGUAUUUUGACUAUACCUAUAAGUCAACUUUUCUGAGUUCGUCUGCUAUCGGUAUCCGUCGAAUAUUCACAAUUCUUGCAGAGAAAUUCUCACGCAUUCUCCUAUUCCUCCAUCGACCGGUAGAAGAAUAUUGAAUCCUUAUAUUAGUUCGUUACUCGAGUACCUUGUCUACAGUUGGUUUACGCGCUGGUGUUGAUCAGGAAUUGAUUCGAGGGGAGGAAAGUCUUACGUCUCACGAAAAGGUUCUUGUGUAUUUUUUCCAGUUUGGCACGUUUCACACAUUAAUAUAAUGAAUUUUGUAAAAAGAAAAAAAAAACUCUUGAAUAAUUUCGCAUCUUGUUUAGAAUAUACAAAAAAGGUAGUUUUCUCCGAUUUUUUUCUAAACAUAAAUGGCAAGAGGAUUCAUGAUUAAAUUGGAGAGAGUCCUAAAAUUGACACCUUAAUUUUUGAAGUAUUAUUUCUUAAUUAACUACUUAUCUCUCAGUACCAGCUUAAGUGAUCAAUUUAACAUGUUUCUUUGAACAUAAGUUCCUUCAUGUGAUGAUUGUGAUGCGUCUUAAACCUGAGGGUAAAAAUGUGUUUGGCCCGCAUUUGAAUGGACCUUGAACUGAUUCAAUGUAUUUUGCCAGAUUCUUUGCUCCCCAACGUGUAUUCUUUUUAGGCAAUAGAACUUUUUACUUUAGAAACUUCUCAAACGUGACCUCAGUCCCUCUAUCGGGAAGAUAAAGUUCUUUUCCGUGCCUCAUUCAAUUCCUCCUCGAUAUCAGCAAGUGUCAGGGCUGGAAUCUCCUCAUUUCUCCCCCCUUUCUUACAAUUCAAUCAAAAUGAUUAAUCUUCGAUAGAGAAAGAAGUGUGCAAAAGUUUCCAGUUACGUCACUGUUGCCAACUGUACCUAAUAUGAACCUUUUAACUACCUACCUAGUGAGUGUUGCUACUUUGCUGUGUCGGGUUUAUACGAUUAUCAAGUCCAGUGUUGCUAGAUUGUGGUGCUAUCUUAAUCACUGUUUCAUCAAUAUAGUAGGUGAUGUUGUACGCAACUUGGCAGCCCUGAUCUCAUCUAUUUCAUAACCCCCCCCCCCCAGGAUUUGCAGGGAUUUUAACCGACCAAUUUUGUCGAAACCGUUAUUUCUUUUCUUUUAUUACUCUGUGAGCCCCUUACUCUCAACUGGAUGCAUUUCUGCCAAACAGAACUAUGUGCAAAAAGACAUGAUCCCUGAGACCCAUAAGAAUAUAUGCAUGAUAGAGCUCACGUCAUAAUACACAUAGUUUCGUUUGGCAGAAAUACGUCCAACUAUGGUGUCUUUCCUCUUUUUCACCUGACUCUUCCAAGUUAUUUUUCUAAAACUGAUCCCUCUAUUUUAUACCUUCCUUAGCUAUUUUCUACAUAGUAGGUUUCUUUGUUAAUCAUACCUCUACACGUUCCUCAGUUUACUCCGAAUAUUAACUGUGUGAUUCUGAUCCUGCUACUUUCCCAUUUUCUUUUUACUAAUUAUGAUUCCUCUCUUUCUCUUUCAAAUUUUUUCUUUAACAAAUAAUAAAAGAAUUGUCUUCGCGCAUAAUAUAGGGUGAUAUCCAACCCAAAUUUGUUAAAUGGUUCUUCUGAACUUAUUUUGUUUGUUAUUAUUUUUGUAAAUCGAUGUUUAUUUUAUUGUAUCUGUUGCCUUUUAUUAACUAUAUUUGGUCCCACCCAUCCUGACUUUGUAGAAACUAUAAGAAACUGACUUACACUACUAGGUAAAAAUCUGUUAACAUGCUGAAGAUUUACGCUUCUGGAAAAAUUUCCUUUCUCAGAGACAGUUCAUGGUGUGAAUUAAAAUUGAUAAUGUCACUUUUUAAUCGAGGACAAGAUGUAUACCAUCUUUUGUGAAUUCAACUCUUUUAUACGCGUUGAAAGAGUUUGAAUUCGCAAUGCAGUCUAGAUUUUAAAAGUUUGUACUUUUCAUGCAUUGUUGCUCUUCACAUGACCAACUGUGUCAGCCCAAAAGAAUGCAACUAGAGAAUAUUUGAUCAUGAACGUUGAAUCGAUACCCACGUCAAGAAUAAACUAUUUCACCGGGUUGCCUUCCUGUGAGACCACUAUUGCAUCCGAUUGAAUUGAAGGCACCGCUUGACUGUGUGAACGAGGCAUCUGUUAUUUUAUCGAUGUGGUCAUGUAUUUGCGAUGCUCCCGAUUUGAUCAAGCCAUUUAUCAUCCGUCUGAUGUGUCGAAACACGUAUCGAGUCGUUCCCGAAGCCAGUGUUGAACAUAAAUGUCAGUUCUCUGUUACAGAUGCUAUAAAAAGCUCUCUUUAUUCAUAGACGUUAAAUAAGUAUUCUACUUUCCACCAUUGUAUAAGAAACCUAUUUAUGUCAAGUUGGUGUGUGGUGAAAUAAAGUGUCUGUUUUAUUUUUUGUUGUUACGCCUGCCCAAUUUAUGCCCUCGUGAGUAUAAUAGGAGAUGGUGCGCAGCCCUCAACAUUGUUGGUCCUUGAUUUUCCUCGGAUUACUCUAAGUGAUUGGAAAAAGACCAUCGUCAAUGAAAAAUUUCCGGUUGGAGGGGUCUACUCGUAAACCAUUCUUUAAAAUCACGAAGAAUUACGCUUUCACGAAUAUUUUUCUCAUCACGAACGGGGAGGGGUGUCCAGAUAU
rnacentral:lncRNA from 1 species